rnacentral:rRNA from 1 species
GCGCAGCAGGCGAGAAUCCUUCGCAAUGCGGGAAACCGCGACGAGGGGACUCCCAGUGCCUACGCUCAGCGUAGGCUGUUCCCGAGCCUAGAAAGCUCGGGGAGUAAGGGCUGGGUAAGACGGGUGCCAGCCGCCGCGGUAAUACCCGCAGCCCGAGUGGUGGCCACUAUUAUUGGGCCUAAAGCGUCCGUAGCCGGCCCGGUAAAUGCCUGGGUAAAUCGUGAGGCCUAACCUCACGAAUUCCGGGUAGACUGCCGGGCUAGGGACCGGAGGAGGGAGAGGGGUACUCCAGGGGUAGGGGUGAAAUCCUGUAAUCCCUGGAGGACCACCGGUGGCGAAGGCGCUCUCCUAGGACGGGUCCGACGGUGAGGGACGAAAGCCAGGGGAGCGAACCGGAUUAGAUACCCGUGUAGU